GAUAUAUUGGGGUCUUAACAGACGUAGGCGCUGUUUUGUUAUGCACAGCAAUUCAAAUCGAUUGUUUAUCUAACGUUUGUUUACAAUUUUACUAGCUAGCCAUCAUAUGGCUUCCGCUUUACUAUCACCGAUGGUAGAUUAUUACAAUGAUGAAGAAGAACUUGAUAGUGUGGACGAGGACGAUGAUCGAAGCUUCAGGGGAAUAGACUCGGAAGAAGACACUGAAGACGCCAGUGAAACUGACCUAGCGAAACACAACGAGGAUGACUAUGUGGAAAUUAAAGAACAGAUGUACAAAGACAAGUUGGCAUCAUUGAAAAGGCAGUUGACGCAACUCCAAGAAGGAACACUUCAGGAGUACCAGAAGAGAAUGAAGAAGCUGGACCAGCAAUAUAAAGAGAGACUUCGCAAUGCUGAUCUCUUCCUCCAACUCGAGACGGAACAGGUGGAAAGGAACCACAUCAAAGAGAAAAAAGCGGCGGUGAAGGAGUUUGACGAUAAGAAGGUUGAGCUGAAGGAAAAUUUAAUUUCUGAGCUGGAGGAGAAGAAGAAGAUGAUCGAGAAUGAGAAAUUAACAAUGGAGUUGACCGGCGAUUCUAUGGAGGUGAAACCCAUCAUGACCCGGAAGUUGAGGAGGAGGCCCAACGAUCCAGUCCCCAUUCCAGACAAACGAAGGAAACCUGCACCUGCUCAGUUAAACUAUUUGCUAACAGACGAACAGAUAAUGGAAGAUCUGCGAACACUGAACAAGCAGCUGAAGUCCCCCAAGCAUCCAGUGUCUCCGUCUUCUCCAGACCAUAUGCCCACCACUCCAGUAGAGGCCCCUUCACAGCGCUAUGAAGCCCGCAUCGAAGAAGGAAAGCUCUACUAUGACAAGAGAUGGUACCAUAAGGGCCAAGCCAUCUACCUGGAGUCAAAGGAGAAUACCAAGAUCAGCUGUGUCAUCAGCUCUGUGGGAACAAACGAGAUCUGGGUGAGGAAGACCAGUGACAGCACAAAGAUGAGGAUCUACCUGGGACAACUGCAGAGAGGAGCGUUUGUCAUCCGACGGCGGUCGGCGGCAUAGAACACAUGCCCCUUCCUUCUGUUUCUCCAUCCAUCUCUAUAGCAUCUCCCUCAUUUUAUCUCUUUUUCCGGAAUCAUGCCAUGUUUUCUAAGAGCGAUGCUUGUCUGAACUGCACCAUCAAUACGUGGAGGAGGGGGAAAUGGACACAACAUUUUCAUAUUGUCUUUUCAUCUGGUAAAUUGUCUGUUUAUAGUUUUUUUGCUCCUGUUAUAUUGACCUUUUUAUUGCUUAUAAAAAAAUAUAUAAUAUACUGAAUUGACUUAAGGUUUGAAUUUGUAUCUGUGAUAUUGACAUUAGAUGAGUCUAAUUCACUCGUGGAAUAGCUAUCGGACUUGGCUGGGAAGAUAAAACUUAAUUUCUUUUUGUA